ensembl:lncRNA
GCCGUCUGCUUUAACGCGAACACGAGGCUUUUUACACCAGGAGCUGGAUGCGGCUAAGGUCGUUCUUCUCAACUUUCUUAAGGUCUCAAACAUAGUCCAGCAUCAACGAACCAUCAGUUUGGAAGGGUUACUGAUAUUUGUUCGCGACGACGAGACCAAACUCUUCUUAACAUGUCUGGUGAGUAUGCAAAUCUACUCAAUCUUCAGUUUUAGUUUACAGAGACUUAUAUGUACUGUUGUUAAUUUUGCAUAGGAUACAGAUCCAGUUGAGAGGGCAACCUGAGGUGUUACGGUGGGCAUCCUCACUGUUCUGGAGGACUACGUGGGACCCAACUCGCAGUCCACAGGGGUCAACACUGCCAUUGUUUUGGAAGAGAACAUUAUUCUUGAUGAUCUGCCAGACCUUCCCACUGCCUUUGCCUACCUGGCCUACUUUAUGGACUCAACAUGGAGUUUCCCAAAGAACUCAAGUACACAUUUGUUUGCUGUAUGGAAACCAGAUAGAAGAGUUCACAUCCUGCCAUCUGAUGUUUUGAAUCUGUUUGUUAGUGACUAUCAAUCAAGAUAGGUUUGAUAUUCUGUCUGACAAUACCACACCUUUAAAAUUGUAACAUUUAUUACAAGAAUUUGGCUUUUUUUUUUUUUUUUUUUUUUUUUUGGGAAAAGGACUUUAUUUGUGGCUGAAUGUUGUCAGUAUGUUAAAAAUGGCUCAUCUCAAAACAUUGUCAGUGGUGCAAUUGUGUUUGAAUACAAUAAAGUUAUUUGAAAAUCAACAUUGUGUAAACAUUCAUUAAUACAACAGGGAAACUAUAAAGGAUACUUUUUCUAGACUUUAGGAAAUUGAUUGGCAAAACAAAAUGUUGCGUAAACUAAAACUAAUACCUUGUGUAAACUUUAGGAAAUACAUUGCUUAAAACAAUAAAAUAUGAGAAGAAAAAGCAGUUAUUAAUCUUGUAAACACAAAAACAUUAGUUGAAGCAACUUUUCUCCUAAACUUGAAAUUAUAAGUGAUCCAUCAGAACCUAAAAACGUAAAUGCAGUGGGUUGCCUUGAGUUAAGUUUUUGCAACUUUGUUUAAAAAAAAAAAAAAAAAAAAGUCUUUGCUGAGAGUCCUCUUGCGAUUUUGAUCCUCUUUGUCUGGAGAGGAAAGGUGAGCCCGUGGCGGGGAGCCCUUGAACUUAUAAAAAUAAAGACAAGAUUUACCUUGUCAGGGCCGCUGUGUCCAUUCACUUUGUGAUGACCAUUGUGGUGCCCAUUUUGGCUGGAUUUGAAGUCUCCAUACGCUUGUCCAUUUAAUCCAUUGCCGUGAUGGUGCACUCCUGACUCCCCAUUGGCGGUUUUGGGAGAAUUAUCAAAGACAUUUCCUGUGUCUUUAUUUUCAUUAGGAUGAGACUUGGAUGAACUGCCGUUAUCCAGAGUGUCACAGUUCUCUUUGUCUGAUUCCUCUUGGCUAUCCGGCACCAGGAAGGACGCCCCGUUUCCUACAGGGUUCUGAUCCCCAUUACUGAAAGGCAUGCCGCUGACUUGGUUUAGUGGACGCGGAAUAAAACGAACGUCUGGUUGGAUGUCUGAGGUAGACUGUGAGGAGGACAAAGAGCUGGAGGAGGAGGAGCUGCUGGCGGAGGACGGCUGGCAGUAAGAGG